AGAAAGGGCAUGAGGUUGUGGUUCAAGGUGGUGUGAUUGAUGAUCUGGCAAAGCAUAUGAUUGAACAAUAUGGGAUCCCAAAGAGAUUCAUUGAGGUUCUUGAUAAAACCAGGAGAUGAGUGGUUGAGAAAGUUUUUCCCCCCUGAAAAGAACCCAAGAAACGUCAUAUGGUGAAAAGAAGGUGAUUUCAGAUUGGAAGUGAUGGCGUUGUUGAUUGUUGUGGUGGAAGCGAAGUGCACAACAGUAGUGCUUGAUACAACGAACCCAUAGAUGAGAACCGGAGGGCUUUACUUAUUGAACUUGGAUUUGGAGAGUACGGAGCUGAAUUUUCAAUGCAAUAUCGGAGUUUUUUUGUUUUUUGGGGGAAAUUAUGCAAUAUUUGUAUCUUUAGCUUGAUAAUUAUAGCGUUUCAACAGACCUAUGUAGCUGUAUAUAAUGUUCUGCACUAAGAAAGCUAUAAUAUUUGCAAA